GAUCCUGAGGAGCAGUCGCUCUUUUCUUCGGCUCCACAAAAGGUAACAAUGAGACGGAACGGAGGAGGCGAUGGACUGGGUGGUAAGCAGGGAGGCUUUCUAAACACUUCGUGGAUGCGGCAGAUCUCGCAUGAAGAAACUAUCUGUCCCCGUUUUACAAAACGGGAUAAAUCGAGGCUCCUUCUCAACGGCAGGCCGCGGGUAACGGCCGCCAUCUUUGUAGGAGGUAAAAGGGCGCAGGGCGCAUGUGCGGUAAUCCUGGGCCAGGGGAGACAAUGUUGUGAAUGUUUCUCCUGGACUGACCGAAAUGGAGCUCAUAAACUGUUUUACAGGGAGUGAGGAAGGGAGCGUUUACACACAGCAAACUCCAAAUCAAACAUAUAUUUCCUUCGUUUGAAAUUUUGUCCCGGACUGACUGUAAUUUUAUUUUACGGCAUGUUAGAAGAGGAUUUGCAGAUCGGAAACUCAAACCAAAUGAUACACCAAGAUCGAUGAUAAUGGACAGGGAAGACUUACAAACUAUCACGCUAUGAUCUGAUGGAAUCACCCAUUUGUCACAAAUGGGUAAUUUUUUUAACGUGGAAGGAAAAUACUCUGCUCACAGUGGAGAGAAACUGUAUAGAUGUGGUGUGUGCGUGGACAAGGCUUCAGCCAAUCAUCAGAACUCAGAAGCCACAAAUGUAGUCACACUGGGGAGAAGCUGUGGAAAAGUAGGGAUUAUGGGGAGGAAUUCAUUUCCCCAUCUGAACUGAAAACUCAUCGCAGUUACACCAGAAACAGGCAAUUCACCUGCUCAGUGUGUGGGAAGGGAUUCACUCAGUCAUCCAACCUGCUGCAACACCCAUUUGUUCACACUGAGGAGAGAUCAUUUCAAUGCCUGGACUCUGAUGAAGGCUCCCGACCCAAAAUGUCGCCUUUCCUGAUGCUGCCUGACCUGCUGUGUUCCUCUAGCUCCACACUACACUGACAGUUCUUUGAACCUCGUUCGGUACUUUGGUAUUUCUGCUGAUUGUGUCUAAAUGAGGUAUCCAUACCUGCCCAUCUCUGGUUACAUGCUGCUGAUUUUCCAGCUUUAUCUUCCCAUGAUCAGGAAUUUUGUGUUAUGCACUGGAGAUCAUUUCUGUUUCUGAGGUAAUAUUGACUAUCAAAUACUUGUCACGAUGUAAGGAUAGCAAUGCAAAACAAAUUAGUCUCACAGUGAAAUUUAUGAUAUUGAAUGACCGUCAAAAUUGCCCAGAUGCUCCUGACCAGACUUUGUGAAUAACCGAUCUUGGGCACCGAGUUUCAAGAAAGAAGAAAUAAGAAUUUCUUCAGCAAAACAAACACAAUCAACUUGGCAGUCUAAUCAAUAUCUGUGUUUUAAACACAACCUUCUUCUUGUAUAACAUCCACUCUCACCGAUUCACAGGCACACAUAAGGAAUAUACUGAACAGAAAAUAAAAUUAAUGUAAAUUUUUAGUUCAAUUAAACAGUUUCAAACAAUG